GGCUGAAAUUACGCCUUCCAUGAAGCCGGAAUUGCUAGUAAUGGCAGGUCAGCAUACUGCCGUGAAUACGUUCCCGGGCCUUGUACACACCGCCCGUCACACCAUGAGAGUUGGGAAUACCCGAAGCCUGUGAGCUAACGAAAGAGGCAGCAGUCGAAGGUAGAAUCAAUGAUUGGGGUGAAGUCGUAACAAGGUACC
rnacentral:rRNA from 1 species